AUGUGUUGCUCUUGCAGAGGAUUUGGAUUUUGUUCCUACCAACCACAUGGAGCAGCACACAAACAUCUGCAACUCCAGUUCAAGGGAUAUGCUAUGCUGCUCUCUUCUGGCCUCCUAGGGUACCCAUGCAUGUGUACCUGUGUGCAUACACACAUAUACAUAAUACAACAAAUAUUUUUUAAUAAAAGAAUCUUUGUGGAG
ensembl:antisense Gm16833 predicted gene, 16833